CAUGGACCCUACUAGAAUGGACAUCGCACGAGAGAAAGUAGGAUCGUUUGAUUUAUAACACCUGUCAAAAAGCUUUUACUUUCCCCUACACACAUUUUACGACCUUCGCGGAUUACCGAAUGUUUAUGCAACGCCCUUUGACCCGAUGACGACCGCCGCCGAAGCUCGAAGCCCUCUGUGUACGGAGCAGUGUCAGCUUCCGCAGCAGACGACGAUUUUGUCUGUAGACUCAAGUGCAUGCAUCGAAUGAUAUCCCAUCAUGCACUGCUAUAUUCACUUCCUGCAUAUCUAACGUUCUUCAGUCUUCCAUCACAUUCUACAGUUUAUCCUCGAAAAAACCCGAGAAAAAUCCGAUAUACAUUCGAUUUUUGGCGAGUUUUGGGGUAUUUUUCAUACAUCAUAUUAUCUGCGGCUAAAUCCAUGGAGGAUCAUCAUCAUCAUGUCAGUGAGCUUGAAAAGCUCUGCAGACUCUGUCGGGCAGCAAUCAAAGGGGAUAAAAACAGAAAACCAUGUCCUAAAGUUGCUUAUUCACAUAUUCUAAGUGCGAGUUGUAGACCUAUGAUUAUGAACAGAGCAGAAUUAAAACAAAAAGCCAAAGGUAAACACUUACAUUUUAGAACUUGUGCACAUCUUGAAAAAUGAAGGGAAAACUUCAUGAAUCUGACACCUGUAAUUUGUUUUCAUUUAAAAAAAUAAAUUUGAAAGCAAGCCAGUUUUGUCUACCAUAAAUGGCUAGCUACUUUGAUAAGAUCUUUUCAAAUCCCCAUACAUUGAACUAAGACAUUUUAUUCUUCUUAUCAUUUGUUGUUUUUCUGACAGACGCACUCAACCAUCGAAGCUUGCGGGACAUUGACAGACAUCACACAUCAGUCUCCAUUGCAUUCCUGGAUCAACAUUUGCUGGACUCCAUGCCUUUGUUCGUUUUAAUGGUUAUUUAUUUGAAGACUCAACCGCAGUUUUGCUUCACGUUGGAACAAACAAUCUUGAACGGGAGUUUGGGAGAAGGACGAGAAGGAUUUUGUUCAACUUAUUCCUUUCAAUAAAACAAAAAUCUCUGAUACUUCCAAAGUUCCAAGGUGGGAUUCCGGAGCUUCACACAAACAAAGCAUUUAUUAUAUUAAUAGAAAACUGACUGAACUGUCACCUUUAUACAAUUUAACAAUACUUAACUCUAAUAAUACUUUUAUUCUCAGCGACACAUUUUAUGUGUGUGAUGGUCUCAACAUAAAUGUCAAAGUCAGUUUAUAAAUAAAAUAUAAAUAUUAGAAAAUGCAAA